CUGUGAUCUCCCAUCUCUCAGUGCUUGUUCCUAAGAAGACUUUUUACUGCGGGCUUACACGGCAGGUGUCCUACGUGAAGGCAAUCGACAUCUGGAUGGCUGUGUGUCUGCUCUUUGUGUUCGCUGCCUUGCUGGAGUAUGCUGCCAUAAAUUUUGUUUCUCGUCAGCAUAAAGAAUUCAUACGACUUCGAAGAAGGCAGAG
rnacentral:lncRNA from 1 species